GAAGGAAGGCAGAAGACGCUGCCAGGUAUAUAGCGCCUUACCUUAUAAGGACAGCGGUGGUCUCAGGGUCAAAGUGCAUUUCAGUGAAGACGGCGCAGUCAUUGAGCCCUUGUGCUGUGUGUCCUUCUGUCUGUCUGUCUGUCCUCACUCGUCUCUCUUCUUCUCCACAGGUUGUGGUCUUGUGGUCUCACCUCGGUCUGCUGCUCAGCUCUCUCCUCGGUCCUCUCGUCUCCAAACUCACGGCUGACUGAACUGAACCUGAAUGACAACAAACUGGGAGAUUCAGGGGCUCGUCAGCUGAGUGAGGGGCUCAGGAGUGACAACUGUAAAUUAAAGAUACUGGGGUUUGACUCUUGUGGUCUCACCUCGGUCUGCUGCUCAGCUCUCUCCUCGGUCCUCUCGUCUCCAAACUCACGGCUGACUGAACUGGACCUGAGCAACAACAACCUGGGAGAUUCAGGGGCUCGUCAGCUGAGUGAGGGGCUCAGGAGUGACAACUGUAAAUUAGAGACACUGUGGUUGGACUCUUGUGGUCUCACCUCGGCCUGCUGCUCAGCUCUCUCCUCGGUCCUCUCGUCUCCAAACUCACGGCUGACUGAACUGGUGGCUGAGCAACAACAACCUGGGAGAUUCAGGGGCUCGUCAGCUGAGUGAGGGGCUCAGGAGUGACAACUGUAAAUUAAAGACACUGGGGUUGGACUCUUGUGGUCUCACCUCGGCCUGCUGCUCAGCUCUCUCCUCGGUCCUCUCGUCUCCAAACUCACGGCUGACUGUACUGGACCUGAGCAACAACAACCUGGGAGAUUCAGGGGCUCGUCAGCUGAGUGAGGGGCUCAGGAGUGACAACUGUAAAUUAAAGACACUGUGGUGAGUAAAGAGGGGGAGGGGUGGGGGUGUGAAUGUGUUAUUGAUGGGCGGGCUGAUCACAUGACAGCACAUGGAGUGACCAGAGUGACAGUGACAAGUGGAGCUGACUGAGGUGACAGACAGGAAGGACAACAAAGAUAAGGAGAGACAGACAGAGGAAGAUGAGGAGGAGGAGGAGUGUGAGAUGGACAAGAAGAAGAAGAAAUGGACAGCAGCUGAGUGUCCAGCCAGAGACAGGGGGACAAGGACACAGGG